rnacentral:tRNA from 1 species
GGGGCUGUGGCUCAGUGGCAGAGCGCUUGCCUGGCAUGAGUAAGGCACUUGGUUCAAUUCUCAGCACCA